ACCCACGUGGCGAAAUUGGUAGACGUGCUACUUUGAGGUGGUAGUGUCCUUACGGAUGUGCUGGUUCGAAUCCAGUCGUGGGUA
rnacentral:tRNA from 1 species